rnacentral:rRNA from 1 species
UACGUAGGGUGCGAGUGUUAAUCGGAAUUACUGGGCGUAAAGCGUGCGCAGGCGGUUUCGUAAGACAGGCGUGAAAUCCCCGGGCUUAACCUGGGAACUGCGCUUGUGACUGCGAGGCUAGAGUACGGCAGAGGGAGGUAGAAUUCCACGUGUAGCAGUGAAAUGCGUAGAGAUGUGGAGGAAUACCGAUGGCGAAGGCAGCCUCCUGGGCCAGUACUGACGCUCAUGCACGAAAGCGUGGGGAGCAAACAGG